GGCUUUUUACUGAUGACUUCCCUUCUGCCAAGGACAUCUCCAUGAGAUGGGCUGCCGUCAGUAAGAUCAUAUCCGUCUUCCCGAAGGCAGAAAAGUAGGACCACCAGGCUAAGUGGUUUUGCUCAGGAUCACACAAUAAAUAAAUUAAUCACACAAAGGUUUGCUCAGGCUGUGGGUCGAAGCUGAAAAUAAGCCCUAAGCUUGGCAGUCAUCACACCCUUCCCUUAGUGGGAAACCUUAAGCUGAGUUUUCCAGGGGAGGGGGCACGUCAACAGGGAGUGGUUGUCUGCAGCACACACCCUUGGGGAUCCCAGCCGACUCUAAUAUGCCCUUCCAGCUUCUAGACUAGAAGGGAAAAUCUGAGCUUAACCUGAAGGCAUCCGAUGAGCCUUGGGAGCCAGGUCCUGAUCCAUAUUGACCCUGUGUGUAUACAAGCUCGCUUUUAUAAAACGCGAAAAGAUAUUCUCCGCUGGACAUUCCUGAGUAUCAAAGGAAAUAUGGGCUUCCAUUGCCGGUGCAACUGGAUAUUUCCUCCAUGUUCCAUCGCUGGGACCUGGCAAGCCACAUUUCCUGGCACUCAACAGCAGCCAGUCCUGGCAGCCUCGAGGUCAGACCCAUUUUUGGAGCCAAACACCCAGCAUUCCUUUACAAUUAGUGCUACAACCUCAAGGGAGGCUCUUGCCUGUCUAGAGGGACCUCUACUGGCCGCCAAAGGGAGUUGCCCAAUAUUCUAGCCUAUGUAAGACAUUUCGCUAGACACCUCCGACUCCUUGUCACAAAAGAAGCCUCCCGCUUCUUUUGCUAAUUGCCCUGUGGUUAAUGAUGACAGGUAGGGUUGACAGCAUGAGUAAGUCGAAGUUACUGCCCUUGCUAAUUAAAGCUGUGAAGUACACUUUCUGUAAAACAUGAAGCCACCGGGUUUUCAGAUGUGCCCAACUUCCCGGCUUUGGCAGCAAGGGUCCUGAACUGGAACAAGACACUUGUCUAUCAAGGGGUGUAACCUGCCCAGCUACAGGGUGACGGCAGGAUACUUCCUUUCUAGAGGCUUUGUGGCAGUAACUGUAUGCUGGAGCUCACUUAGAAAAGGAUAGACUGUCGUGCUCGAGGCCA